rnacentral:miRNA from 1 species
UAUUAGGUUGGUGCAAAAGUAAUUGCAGUUUUUGCCUUUACUUAUAAUCUGAAAGACUGCUAUUACUUUUGCACUAACAUAAUA